GAAGACCUUACCCGAUUAGCUGAGAGGUGGUGCAUGGCCGGUCGUCAGUUCGUACUGUGAAGCAUCCUGUUAAGUCAGGCAACGAGCGAGACCCACGUCCACAGUUGCCAGCAUACCCUCCGGGGUGAUGGGUACACUGUGGAGACCGCCGCUGCUAAAGCGGAAGAAGGAGUGGGCAACGGUAGGUCAGUAUGCCCCGAAUCUCCCAGGCUACACGCGGGCUACAAUGGUUGGUACAAUGGGCAUCUACCCCGAAAGGGGAAGGAAAUCUCUUAAAGCCAAUCGUAGUUCGGAUUGAGGGCUGCAACUCGCCCUCAUGAAGCUGGAAUCCGUAGUAAUCGCGUUUCAACAGAACGCGGUGAAUACGUCCCUGCUCCUU
rnacentral:rRNA from 1 species